CAGUCAGGUGGGAUAACGCUGACCUGUUCCUCCUCCUGGAGGGCAGUGGAAUGUGGUCAUCGGGGCUGCAGGAUACUUGACUAACAUCUCUGUGUAAUGACAGCUUGCAGUAUCCUGACUGAU
rnacentral:snoRNA from 1 species